UUGUCCCAGGUUUCAACAGCCUGUCUCCAUUGUGAAAAGACUUUGCAGCAGGAUGAUUGCAGAGUUGUCUUGGCAAAACAAGAAAUCACAAGAUUAUUAGAAACACUGCAGAAACAGCAGCAGCAGUUUACAGAAGUUGCAGAUCAUAUUCAGUUGGAUGCCAGUAUUCCAGUCACUUUUACAAAGGACAACAGAGUUCAUAUUGGACCCAAAAUGGAAAUCCGAGUAGUCACAUUAGGAUUAGAUGGUGCUGGAAAAACUACUAUUUUGUUCAAGUUAAAACAAGAUGAAUUUAUGCAGCCUAUUCCAACAAUUGGUUUUAAUGUGGAAACUGUGGAAUACAAAAAUCUAAAAUUCACCAUUUGGGAUGUGGGUGGAAAACAC
rnacentral:lncRNA from 1 species